AACGGGCAGAAACACUGGAACUAUUAUCACAUGGACUCAAUACAGUAGAGGUGCUAGCUUGUCUAAGGAACAUGGGAGACUCCAGAGCUCAUUAUGAAGCCCUAAAGAAAGAGCUAGAUGAAGAUUCCGUCUCCCCCAGUUGAAGUGUACCUAUGAUAAAAAUUACAGACCUCUACAUGCUUUGUAAGUAGGAAAACCUGCAAAAUCGGCAGUAUAUCAAAUACUUGUUCUCCCCACUGUAUGUUUAUUUUACAGAUGCAGCAGCCAUUUUUAAAGUGGCAAAAGAAUGUCAACCUAAGGGCAAAAGUAAGCACAAACAUUUUUCCCUUUCCAAAGCCACAGAACCAAAAAUAUCUAAAAAUAAGUAUCCGUCCAAUGGCUUGGAAAGAAAAAACUAAAGUGACAUGGGGAAAAUACAUUAGAGUUGUUGCUGAGGAGGAGCCGUCCACAUUUUUACUGGACCCCGCUGAUGGCUAUAAUGUUGCCGUCGCCAAAGACAGGCUUUGGGCAGACUUUGACCUUCCAGGUGCAGCCUUCACACUCUGCCAUGACGAUGGGACACCAUGGCCAAGGAGGACUUUGAAAAAGAGCAAAUGACCCUAUCAGAAAUAAAGGAUGUCUGGAAGAAAACAUUCUUUGUUGGACAAAGAUCCAUGGGUAAUAUUUAGUUCAGUGCCAUGAUAAUUAUAAUUUUUGGGGAUAUUUAUUCUUGAUAUGCAUUAUUGGAUGUAAUUUGUUUUCAAACAGCAGGACACAGUAACCUGGCUGAGGAACGGGUAAGAUAACAUUAUAUAAGCCUCUUCAAUAUGUAUGACAAUGUUACUACUACCAAAAUUAAGUGGCACAUAUUGAAUGUGUUUGAAAAAGUUGUCUACAACUGUUGAUCAUUGGAAACUAACAUUGGCAAUAUAUACUGGUUGCUGUUGAUUGUGCCCCUUUGUUCUUAAUGUGUUUUACAAGUGUUUAAUUCCCUACUUUACACAUACUUAGUGAAACUUGACACUUUGAUCUUCACUGCCUACACAUUUUGCUUACAGAAAGUUUUCAGAAAUCAGUAGUCUUUCAGUUGUAAGAGGGGUUGUUUGGUUUUGAACAAUGUCAAUAUUAUGUGUUCUUGGUAUGGUAACCUGCUUUCAGUUUUUGUGUAUGUUGUGAAAAGGUGUAUUAAAGGAUGUUUUUUUUCAAUGUAUUAUAAGCCCGGGCCACCAGAAAAUUAUUCGAGUUCCCCAUCAGAGGAUUUCUUGGCAGACACACAACAACCAAAUUAUCCGGUUGAGGCAGCCAGACCAUUGUUCCACCUGCUGGUCCUCUCGGGGGAACAAUCUACUAUCGUGCUGCUGAAUGUGAGCUACACUACAAUCCUGCAACGUGGCAUUCCGAUGUGUGGUCUGUUGGUGCUACCUUUGUAGAGCUUUUUACAGGUUCUUGGCCUUGGAAUUUAAGACAAUCUCGUGAAGUUAAAGCACUGCUUUCUUCCCGGACUGAGCCCCAUGCUUUAGCCUUGCUUUCCCCAACAUGGAAAGACACUAUAACCCAAUGCCUUAUGUAUGAACCAGAACAACGACCCACAGCAAGGACCCAGGCCAAGGUUUUCUGAUCUGGGCUUGACCUCCAAACACUAGGUUGUUAAAUAAUUUUUGGGGGAGUAAUGGACUUCUCAGGACUGUGCAGGCCACUGAAGCCAUAGGCUAUUUAAAUAAUGUUCCUGAAACCAUUUUCUUAUUAUGCUGGAAAUGCAGAUAUUGUAUCCCUGGUUUUGGGAAUUUUUUUAUAUUGUUGUUCAUAUCUAAUGUUAAGAAAAAUAUUGUUUGUUUGUUGGGGGAUUUACUUCAAUACUUUCUAAUAUAUUAAUACCUAAUUCCUUUGAUAUCCUGGCUGGGCAGGAUACAUUUUUUUUUUAACAAGAUUGGCUUUGAAAUGUUUUCAAUAAUCAACAUCCACUCUUCUUUUUUUUUGUUACAUAUAUACUGUAUGUAUACUGUGCUGGAGUGUCCACCUUUGUUCUUUUUAUCACCUGCUCAUAAAGUUCACCUGGGCAUGCACCCUUUUACAAUGGUUACUCUAUUUAAGUGACUAUUUGGUUAGUGCAUGUUUAAAGCAAACAUCUUUAUCUAUUAUGGGUUACAGUAGAGCCGAACAAAGAGCUUUUUCUGAAAACCAGGAGCAGCAAAACAUGUCUGCCUGCUGUGUAAACAAUUCAAAAAUGUUAUGAGGAAUGUAGUUGUAAGGAAUACGAGCCACAGGCAUGUAUAGAUCCAUGCACAGAGCAUGAAAUGGUUUUAUUGUAGACGACAAGACAAAAAAAA
ensembl:lncRNA